rnacentral:rRNA from 1 species
CCUACGGGCGGCUGCAGUGGGGGAUAUUGCACAAUGGGGGGAACCCUGAUGCAGCGACGCCGCGUGGGUGAAGGAUUGCUUCGCCAUUUAAAGCCCUAUGGGCUGGGAAGAAGCAAGACGGUACUUGACUAAGAAGCCCCGGCUAACUACGUCCCAGCAGCCGCGGUAAUACGUAGGGGGCGAGCGUUAUCCGGAUUCACUGGGUGUAAGGGGAGCGUAGACGGCCAUGCAAGCCAGGGGUGAAAGCCCGGGGCCCAACCCCGGGACUGCCCUUGGAACUGGAUGGCUGGAGUGCGGGAGGGGCAGGCGGAAUUCCUGGUGUAGCGGUGAAAUGCGUAGAUAUCAGGAGGAACACCGGCGGCGAAGGCGGCCUGCUGGACCGCGACUGACGUUGAGGCUCGAAAGCGUGGGGAGCGAACAGGAUUAGAUACCCGAGUAGUC